AUGUCAACGCAGAUGCUCUUCCUUGCUACGCUAUUCAUCCUCUCAUCUUUCAUGCGAUCCCAUGCGGUGGAAUACACCGUGACGAACAGCGCUGGCAACACUACCGGUGGUGCCCUCUUCUCUGGCGAGAUCGGCAUUCCAUACAGCCGUAGGACUUUGACUGUGUCCACCCAUUUUAUAUGGAGGGUCUUCCAUCAAAAAGCCCCUGAGGACCGUAAGAGUGUUGAGAAAGUGAGCUUGUUCAUAGAGAACAUGGAAGGCUUGGUGUAAGAUAGCAACGAUGAGAUCCACGCGAGUGCCACUUACCUCGGGGGAUUCUCGGGGGAUGUGAAGAGAGAGUUCACAGGGAUUCUGUACCACGAGAUGGCGCAUGUGUGGCAGUGGGAUGGGGACAGGCAAGCCCCCGAGGGGCCCAUUAGGGGGAUCACAGAUUUUGUUAGGCUCCGGUCAGGGUAUGUGCCGGGCCACUGGGUGGGACCAGGCCAGGGCGAUCGGUGGGACCAGGAUCACGGCGUCACGGCACGGUUUCUUGACUACUGCAAUGGCCUCAGAAACGGGUUCGUGGCCGAGCUGAACAAGAAGAUAAGGACUGGUUAUAGCGAUGGCUACUUUGUUGACCUGCUAGGCAACAGCAUUGACCAGCUCUGGAAGGACUACAAGGCCAAGUACGCUACCUGA